rnacentral:rRNA from 1 species
UUCGCAAUGCCCGAAAGGGUGACGAAGCGACGCCGCGUGGGUGAGGAAGGCCUUCGGGUUGUAAAGCCCUGUCAGGAGUUAAGAAAUGUAAGUGCGCUAAUAUCGCAUUUAUUUGACGAAGGCUCCAAAGGAAGUCACGGCUAACUCUGUGCCAGCAGCCGCGGUAAUACAGAGGUGGCAAGCGUUGUUCGGAAUUAUUGGGCGUAAAGAGCACGUAGGUGGGUUUGUAAGUCAGAUGUGAAAGCCUUCUGUUCAACGGAAGAAUUGCAUCUGAAACUGCGAGUCUUGAGUGUAGGAGGGGAGAAUGGAACUUCUGGUGGAGCGGUGAAAUGCGUAGAUAUCAGAAGGAACGCCGGCGGCGAAAGCGAUUCUCUGGCCUAUUACUGACACUCAGUAUGCGAAAGCUAGGGGAGCAAACGGGAUUAGAUACCCCGGUAGUCCUAGCCGUAAACGAUGGGCACUAAGUAGAGGGGUUUU